UAUACGUUUUACAUUAGGACCGUUGGUGAAGAAAGUUAUAAAAGAAGACGACAAAACGAGAACAAAACCCAUACCUACUAAGACAUGAAGGGAAAUGCCGAUUUUAUAAGAGAGUUGUUAUAAUUUUGUUAAGACUUAGUAAAGACUGAAGCUACCGUCUCAUCGUGGAGGUAUUUGACAGCCUUGAGGUUAGCCUAGCAUCGUGUAACACCGAGAGAUAAUUGGUUGGGAAAGCUUAACGAGUUCGUGUUCCCAUGGGAUAUCGGUUACGGCUAAGGAGUACUGUCUGCUUUGAUAGCGGUGCUUGCUGUGGAUGUUGUGAGGAAACCUGCAAGGAACUGCCAUACUUCGCUGAAGGAAUAUCUACAAGUAGUGAGUAAUCACAACGUGAGGUGCUUCUGGACUUUGUGUGUCGUCGGUUUUUUAAGCUCCAACGGGUUAUUAAACUUGAAAUAAUUUAGACAUGGGUUGUGCACGACUCACUGGGGUUUAUAGUCUUUAUUUAUUUUUAAUGUUGUGCUAUGAAAAUGUAAUACACAUAUUGAACCUUAUGUAUCUUUCCUUGGUGGAGUCAUUUACUGUUUCAAUUUAAUUGAAUGUAUGGGAUAGCCUAUCCUGAUACAAUAACAGAAACCUAUAAUUUCAUCUGAAGUUAAUACCCUGUUGUCAUCACCCUAGACAGUUUACAAUAGGAAUUCUUAUUGGAGAUGUCCUUCCCACAUAGCAUCCCAUGCUGUUGAGAUACUCUACAUAAGUUAAUAAUGUGAGAGUCAUAUUCGAGCCUGGUGAGAGUUCUUGGCCUAACCACAGGGGUUACUUGAAAAGACUCAUGAGACCAUAGGCCUACUGGUAAAAUGCACAUGAGGGGGUACUUCAGGCAGAGCAAAAUUCAGUUGGUGGUACAGUAACCAAAAAAGUUGGGAACCACUGGUAUAGCCUAUGCGCACGGUUGACUGUCUCUCUGCCUGCCCGAUCCUCACUCUCCCUGGCCUGCUCUCUUUAUGAAAAACGCUAGUGUGCGUUUCUCUUCGGUCUGUUGCGUGUUGAAUAGCUCAGCAUACUCAUUGAUAGCCCUUACUUUAGUGAACUUGCACGAGACAUUGCAAGCCAAGAAAUUGCACAAUACAUAAUUUCAAUACCCUAUUGUUUUGUUUUGCACACUUCGUACAAAAUAAUACAAUGCAGUACUACAGGAUAUUUCUUAACGUAACUCUUUAUUAGUUAGCUAUAACAGGCAUGUUCACAUAUCGCCAACCAGGAUCAAUCUGCCAUGACCUAACCAUUUGGGUGGUCUUAACCAAUCAUAGCACAGUAUGAUAUGGCGGUAAAAUGCGUCCAAUUACAAUUCCGUAUGUUUACACAUAUGAAUAGUACAUCCCCCUUCUUUUAAAACAAAAGAAGUGUUUACAUAUUCUAAGGGUUUCUUUUGAAUACAUGCUCUGUAGUUUGAUCUCAAGGUAGGUAACCAUUUAUAUUGCAUACUACACCAACUGAUUCAACAGACUCAAACAAUAAUCCAACAUACUGUUACUUUUCAAACAAGGGAUUCUCAGCAACUCAGCUUUCACUGUAGAAAUAACAUCUUAACAUUUCAAACCACUACAAUACCAAAGCAUUUCAAGUGAACUUUCAAUAACAAGUUUACAGUCUGCAACUCUUUUAGGGCAGCGAUCCGCCUACACCCUUUGACAUUUCACAGGUCUAGGACAGCUCUGGGCUUGACCUCUCUUCCUGACCUUGUGCGAUAUGAUGCUGAGCAUGCUUCUGUCAGUCAACAGUUCUUGUGGUGUUGCAGGUAAGUAUGGUGUAUGUUGUGCUGUGUGUGUGUGUUUAGUCCAUCACGUUCUCUUUCAGGGGAACGGUUCAUCUCAUCAGUGUGUUGUUCUUUUGUGUUCAGUAGGUGACGACGAUUGCAGUGUGAUCCUUCUGCGGUGCGGACGUGAUAUGAACGUUCUGUGUCAGCUGGCUGGAUUAAAACUACUGGCUUCCAGAGGCCAUGCUCCUGGAUUCUAACUGACUCUCCGUCAAUCAGUGGUGGCAGUGGUCUAGCUGACCUGUCGUAGUGUCGCUUUUGUUGUUGUUGUCUCUGUGCACGUUUUCCAUGCAUUUCCUAUUAGCUGUUAGCUGUUCCUGUUGGUUGGUGCUGGGAAGGAUUGAGCGAAGUCUGCGGCUCAUCAACAGCUGGGCUGGUGAUUUGAAGUUGUCAACUGGAGUGUUGCGGUAUUCAAGAAGACUGAGAUAAAAGCCUUCAAGUACUCAUCUGACCAACUUCUUCAGGGCCAGCCAGGCCCCCUGUCGCCCCCCAGGCGCCCUGAAACCCAACCCCCAUAAGAAGAAGCCCAAAUACGACCUGCCCUUGCCCAGUAUACAUACAAGAUCACAGCCAUGUCAGGUGGGCGUCAGGCUUGUAAGAGACAUUAAUUAUCUGUGAGAUUCAGUGAACAAGGCUGAAAGGACUGGGUAUUGGCUCCUACUGGUUACUCUGCCUUCUACUGUGAUGGAGAAUGCCUCUACCCUCUGUUCCUGCAUGAACUCCACCACCCACACUAUGAUCCAACUAGUGGUUUGUUGAACAUUAAUAGAAAUGAAACUCCAGCACACUGGUAGCACUAAAGACGGGUGAGUAUAACUUUUCCAGGUGAGUUGAACCUGCCUGUGGGUGCGGUGGGGAUAUUCCUGGGAGGUCUACUGAUGAAGAGGUACGGUGGCCCCCUUGAACUUUGCGACCUUUUGCCACAUUUCAGGCUUCAAACAUAAAGAUCUAAAACUGUAUUUUUUUGUGAAGAAUCAACAACAAGUG